UCAAGGACCUACACACACCAUCUUAGCCAGGACUGUAUACGCAAAACUGUAUCUAUCAUGACUGAAGUACAUGCCAAGUCUUGUGGAUAUUGGAUCAUAACAAAAAGGUAUAAUCAUGUUGCUAAGGAUUGUACACCAGCAAUUACCUCUUGAAGGGAGAUUGAUAAGAGAAUUAACUCAGCAUGCCAAGAACCAUCUGAGAACGUUUUAGAAAACAAACACUUACUUGGAGCAACAUAGACCCCGGUUCACAGAUCUGGACUCUGCCCCUUACCAGUUACUUACCAUUGACGUAGACAGCAGCACAAAAACUUCUAGAAUCUGGAACGGGAGAAAAUCCGUCCACUAGAACUUCAACGAAGAGGAGACCCAUGCAUACCCCCAGAGAGAGUCUAUGUUUUCUUUUUUCUUUUUUUGUGAUAUACCCAAGACCCACCUUGGACUCAAGGGACACAAAUU